GACUUAUCAGAGGCAGAGGAGUGUGACGCGCCUGGCUCGCUCCGUGCCUGAUUUUGUUUUCUUCCCUGUGUUUUGUCAGAAAUAAAAUUCUUAAAAUCAGGUCCUUUGUGGCG